CCGCGGUAAGACGGAGGGUGCAAGCGUUAUCCGGAAUCACGGGGCGUAAAGGGCGCGUAGGCGGUCUGUUAAGUCCGAUGUUAAAUCCCGGGGCUCAACCCCGGAUCAGCGUUGGAUACUGGCAGGCUAGACGGUUGGAGAGGCGAGUGGAAUUACCAGUGUAGCGGUGAAAUGCGUAGAUACUGGUAGGAACACCCAUUGCGAAGGCAGCUCGCUGGACAACACGUGACGCUGAGGCGCGAAAGUGUGGGGAGCAAACCGG
rnacentral:rRNA from 1 species